rnacentral:rRNA from 1 species
UAUCCGCCAGAGAAUUACAAGUGAAAAACUUAAAACUCAAAGGACUUGACGGUUGCCCACAUCACCCUAGAGGAGCCUGUCCUUUAAUCGAUACCCCACGAUACACCUCACCCCCCCUUACAACCACAGCCUAUAUACCGCCGUCGCCAGCCUACCUAAUGAUAGAGACACAGUAGGUAAAAUAGUCAACCACUAACACGUCAGGUCAAGGUGUAGCUAAUGGGGCGGAAAGAGAUGGGCUACAUUUUCUAACUAACUAGACCACACCGUAAGCUCUAUGAAACUUAGCUGAAAGGCGGAUUUAGCAGUAAGCAACGACAAGAUAUGCCUAGCUGAAACCCGCUCUGGGUCGCGUACACACC